rnacentral:rRNA from 1 species
GACGAACGCUGGCGGCGUGCUUAACACAUGCAAGUCGAACGAAGAGAGGGAAAGAGCUUGCUCUUUCCGGAAUUGAGUGGCAAACGGGUGAGUAACACGUAAACAACCUGCCUUCAGGAUGGGGACAACAGACGGAAACGACUGCUAAUACCGAAUAAGUUCCAAGAGCCGCAUGGCCCAUGGAAGAAAAGGUGGCCUCUACCUGUAAGCUAUCGCCUGAAGAGGGGUUUGCGUCUGAUUAGCUGGUUGGAGGGGUAACGGCCCACCAAGGCGACGAUCAGUAGCCGGUCUGAGAGGAUGAACGGCCACACUGGAACUGAGACACGGUCCAGACUCCUACGGGAGGCAGCAGUGGGGAAUCUUCCGCAAUGGGCGAAAGCCUGACGGAGCAACGCCGCGUGAGUGAUGACGGCCUUCGGGUUGUAAAACUCUGUGAUCCGGGACGAAAAGGCAGAGUGCGAAGAACAAACUGCAUUGACGGUACCGGAAAAGCAAGCCACGGCUAACUACGUG